CUCGGUUGAGAGCUCACAGCUAACCGUUGGUUCCGUUAAGAGCCUGAAAGAGCUUAUAAAAUCUGGACAAACGCUGAGACUGGAAAAAAAAAAUCCCCGUUAGCAUCAGAGACGUCAGAGCGAUGGAUGAUAGUUUCUGCAGAGGAAGUUGUCAUCCCUCCACCCCUCCCCACUCAACCCUUUCACGAGACACUUGUUUUCUCCGGAGACUGAGGUGCCUGAUGAAAGCAAGCCUUCUUCUGAGAAAAUUGGGUGUUGACAGUCGCCUCAUUUCCCUC